ACAGGCGCCUGCCACCUCGCCCGGCUAAGUUUUUGUAUUUUUAGUAGAGACGGGGUUUCACCGUGUUAGCCAGGAUGGUCUCGAUCUCCUGACCUCAUGAUCCGCCCGUCUCGGCCUCCCAAAGUGCUGGGAUUACAGGCUUGAGCCACCGCGCCCGGCCGAAAUGAUGUUCUUUCUGUCUCUUUCAGUUGUGGCCAGCUUACUUUGUGUUUCAGAUAGGCAGUACAGUUCAUGCAGGAUGACAAGGAGGCUGCUGGGGUUUGGGAGUGGUGUGUUCUGGGAAGUUGGAGGUCUCUUUUGUGUAUUUCUGGGGUGCAUAUUGGAACGUGAGGAGACCACAAUUUUGUGUAAGUUGUGUUGUGGAGCAAAGAUUUGAUGCGUGGAAGACACACUAGAUGGGUGAUACUUUGCCACAUCUACACUUAUCCUGGAGUGUGUGUGUGUGUUUUUUUGUGUGUGUGUGUGUGGUUUUCUAAAGAUGCUGGUGAACUGAGAUACUUCUGAGAGAGCCAAUGUACUACAUGGACUAAGGGAAUAGGACCUUGAUGUCACAAGUAUUUCUCUGGAGCCUGCCACAUCAUUGCUGUUAGGGUUUAGGGUUUCUGGUUCUCUAAGCUCUGACAGAGAGAUAAACCUAACUGAGCUUGUGAUAAUGAGGAUUUACCCUACUGGCUUCUAAUGUGGAUACAAAAUAGUGAAGGUGAAAAGUGGUACGUGUUUCCCAGAUUGAAGGGUAGGUAAUUUCUGUCUCAGCACUGAAGACUUGGAGUCAGACGCAGAAAGUUCUUCCGCUUUCUGUGAGUCUCUAGGAAGAUUACUUGACCUGCUGCGCACCAGUUUUCUCAUCAGUAAACUGGAGAUGCCACUACCCGUUCUAUAGGCUCUGGCAAGCAUUGCAUUAAAUGACAGAUGGGAAAGUGCUUUCUAGCUGGUCACCGCCUAGAAAGGCGGUUGCAGAUGGUCACCUGUAUCUUGAGAAGACACAGGCACUUUGUAUGUAUUAUUCAGGUGUGUAUUUAAAGCCAAGGCUGAUCCCAAUAAGGUACAGUAAUGUAUAAGAUUGAUACUUUCACAGACUGAAGAAAACAUUUCCACUUUAAUCCCAAACUCCAGACCUAUCCUCUCCCUUGAAAAAGCUUAGAAAUGAUGUCUCUAGAGCUGGGCACUAAGAAGGAUGGAAGAUGUGUUCAGCUAAGAGGACCUAAAUCCUGAUUAGCUGCAGAGAAAAUGACCAGCUCUGCAGCUUCUGGGGCACAUUUGAGGGGCAUCUCUCCAGGAGGACAUAGCACCAAGCAUCACUUGAUUUACUGAUCUUCCCACUUCCACCCCUGCCCGGAGUUCCCAUGGCUGCCAUGAACUGGGAAGUGGAAAUGCAGCAGUUGGGCUGUGAGAACCUCCUGGGUCUCCUACUGGUGACUUCCUCCUAUAAAUCAGCCACAGACAGCUGCAUCCACUCGCACCAUGGGAUAAAAAAAUAGACCCUGUUGCUAGACAGCAACACAGGCUCCACAAACACCGUGGGGUCAGAGGGCAAGGGGUCUUAAGCCAGGCACUAGCCAAGCAGGCCCGGCAGCCCCGUGGAUCCAUUUGUUUAUUUUCACAGUGGCAUUGCCUGUCUGUGCUACACGAAGGAGGGAGACUCCCUUGCCCCUCUCUCUGCAUGUGUAGGCCACUUGCUGCUCACCACCAGAAAGGCCCGCUGACCUGCUGGCUAGUUUAUUUAUUUUGGUUGCACAUAGACUGUCUGCUAGGUCUAAGUUUCGAAGCUGAUGGGGAAGUCAUCAAGUCUUGUACAGAGUAUUUAGCGAUUGAAUUUUAUCUGGUCCAUUGAAUAUCUGACUGAACAAGAAACGGACUCACAACCUCCCCUCCUUCAGCACCUCCCUCCAGGGCCUUCUGUUCAAGUCAGCAUCUGACCCACCGAGAGAAACAGGCUUAUGAUGGCUGUGAGUUUGGGCUCUCCUUCUUCCUUUGACUUGAAUCAAUCUCUGAAAAUAACUUUUACAACAUUUUAUCAUGGCAAUUUCAAAACAAGUUGAAGCGGAGCGAUUUUUACAGUGAACCCUGUAAACUCAUCUAGAUUCUACCAUUAACAUAACACUAC
rnacentral:lncRNA from 1 species